rnacentral:rRNA from 1 species
AUUGAACGCUGGCGGCAGGCCUAACACAUGCAAGUCGAGCGGCAGCGGGAAAGUAGCUUGCUACUUUUGCGGCGAGCGGCGGACGGGUGAGUAAUGCCUGGGAAACUGCCCAGUCGAGGGGGAUAACAGUUGGAAACGACUGCUAAUACCGCAUACGCCCUACGGGGGAAAGCAGGGGACCUUCGGGCCUUGCGCGAUUGGAUAUGCCCAGGUGGGAUUAGCUAGUUGGUGAGGUAAUGGCUCACCAAGGCGACGAUCCCUAGCUGGUCUGAGAGGAUGAUCAGCCACACUGGAACUGAGACACGGUCCAGACUCCUACGGGAGGCAGCAGUGGGGAAUAUUGCACAAUGGGGGAAACCCUGAUGCAGCCAUGCCGCGUGUGUGAAGAAGGCCUUCGGGUUGUAAAGCACUUUCAGCGAGGAGGAAAGGUUGAUGCCUAAUACGUAUCAACUGUGACGUUACUCGCAGAAGAAGCACCGGCUAACUCCGUGCCAGCAGCCGCCGUAAGAC